GAUGAACGCUGGCGGCGUGCCUAAUACAUGCAAGUCGAGCGAACAGAUGAGGAGCUUGCUCCUCUGACGUUAGCGGCGGACGGGUGAGUAACACGUGGAUAACCUACCUAUAAGACUGGGAUAACUUCGGGAAACCGGAGCUAAUACCGGAUAAUAUAUUGAACCGCAUGGUUCAAUAGUGAAAGACGGUUUUGCUGUCACUUAUAGAUGGAUCCGCGCCGCAUUAGCUAGUUGGUAAGGUAACGGCUUACCAAGGCAACGAUGCGUAGCCGACCUGAGAGGGUGAUCGGCCACACUGGAACUGAGACACGGUCCAGACUCCUACGGGAGGCAGCAGUAGGGAAUCUUCCGCAAUGGGCGAAAGCCUGACGGAGCAACGCCGCGUGAGUGAUGAAGGUCUUCGGAUCGUAAAACUCUGUUAUUAGGGAAGAACAAAUGUGUAAGUAACUAUGCACGUCUUGACGGUACCUAAUCAGAAAGCCACGGCUAACUACGUC
rnacentral:rRNA from 1 species